UACGGGGGGAGCAAGCGUUGUUCGGAUUUACUGGGCGUAAAGGGCGCGUAGGCGGCUUUGCAAGUGGCGGGUGAAAUCCCUCGGCUUAACCGAGGAACUGCCUGCCAGACUGUGAGGCUUGAGACCGGGAGAGGUGAGUGGAAUUCCCAGUGUAGCGGUGAAAUGCGUAGAUAUUGGGAGGAACACCAGUGGCGAAGGCGGCUCACUGGACCGGAACUGACGCUGAGGCGCGAAAGCGUGGGGAGCAAACAGG
rnacentral:rRNA from 1 species